AUCAAUAAGCGGAGGAAAAGAAACCAACAGGGAUUGCCUCAGUAACGGCGAGUGAAGCGCAAAAGCUCAAAUUUGAAAUCUGAGGCUUUCAGCCCCGAGUUGUAAUUUGAAGAUGGUGUUCUGGUGCCGGCCCCCUGUCUACGUUCCUUGGAACAGGACAUCACAGAGGGUGAGAAUCCCGUCUGGCGGGGCGGCCUGGCUCCGUGUAGAGCGCCAUCGACGAGUCGAGUUGUUUGGGAAUGCAGCUCUAAGUGGGUGGUAAAUUCCAUCUAAAGCUAAAUAUUGGCGAGAGACCGAUAGCGAACAAGUACAGUGAUGGAAAGAUGAAAAGAACUCUGAAAAGAGAGUGAAAAAGUACGUGAAAUUGUUGAAAGGGAAGGGUAUUGGAUCAGACUUGGUGCUGUGCGAAUAGCGGCCCUUCUUGGGCUGCCCACUCGCACUCCACCGGGCCAGCAUCGGUUUGGGCGGCAAGACAAUGGCGGGGGAACGUGGCACUGCUCUCGGGCAGUGUGUUUAUAGCCCCCGCUGUAUGUUGCCUGCCUAGACCGAGGAUUGCAGCUUCUGCCUAGGAUGCUGGCGUAAUGAUCCAACACCGCCCGUCUUGAAACACGGACCAAGGAGU
rnacentral:rRNA from 1 species